UACGUAGGGGGCAAGCGUUGUCCGGAUUUAUUGGGCGUAAAGAGCGUGUAGGCGGCCACACAGGUCUGCUGUGAAAACUCGAGGCUCAACCUCGAGAUGUCGGCGGGAACCGUGUGGCUAGAGUCCGGAAGAGGAGAGUGGAAUUCCUGGUGUAGCGGUGAAAUGCGCAGAUAUCAGGAAGAACACCUAUGGCGAAGGCAGCUCUCUGGGACGGUACUGACGCUGAGACGCGAAAGCGUGGGGAGCGAACAGG
rnacentral:rRNA from 1 species